GAGGGUAUAGCUCAAGUGGUAGAGCGCAUGCUUAGCCUGCACGAGGUCCUGGGUUCAAUCCCCAGUACCUCCU
rnacentral:tRNA from 1 species